UGCGUGCGGAGGGACUUGAACCCCCAGAGCCGAAGCAACGGCUUUACAGGCCGCACCGCUACCAAUUACGGGUUACACACGC
rnacentral:tRNA from 1 species